rnacentral:rRNA from 1 species
AAAGACUAGCUAAUACCGCAUACGAUCUACGGAUGAAAGUGGGGGAUCGCAAGACCUCAUGCUCCUGGAGCGGCCGAUAUCUGAUUAGCUAGUUGGUGGGGUAAAAGCCUACCAAGGCGACGAUCAGUAGCUGGUCUGAGAGGACGACCAGCCACACUGGGACUGAGACACGGCCCAGACUCCUACGGGAGGCAGCAGUGGGGAAUUUUGGACAAUGGGGGCAACCCUGAUCCAGCAAUGCCGCGUGAGUGAAGAAGGCCUUCGGGUUGUAAAGCUCUUUUGUCAGGGAAGAAACGGUAGUAGCUAAUAUCUAUUACUAAUGACGGUACCUGAAGAAUAAGCACCGGCUAACUACGUGCCAGCAGCCGCGGUAAUACGUAGGGUGCAAGCGUUAAUCGGAAUUACUGGGCGUAAAGCGUGCGCAGGCGGUUGUGU